rnacentral:rRNA from 1 species
GACGAACGCUGGCGGCGUGCUUAACACAUGCAAGUCGAGCGGUAAGGCCCUUUCGGGGGUACGACGAGCGGCGAACGGGUGAGUAACACGUGGGUGACCUGCCCUCAGCUCUGGGAGUAAGCCCGGGAAACUGGGUCUAAUACCGGAUAUGACUCCAUGACGCAUGUUGUGGGGUGGAAAGCCUUGUGCGGCUGAGGAUGGGCCCGCGGCCUAUCAGCUUGUUGGUGGGGUGAUGGCCACCAAGGCGACGACGGGUAGCCGGCCUGAGAGGGCGACCGGCCACACUGGGACUGAGAUACGGCCCAGACUCCUACGGGAGGCAGCAGUGGGGAAUCUUGCGCAAUGGGCGAAAGCCUGACGCAGCGACGCCGCGUGAGGGAUGACGGCC